rnacentral:rRNA from 1 species
UACGGGGGGUGCGAGCGUUGUCCGGAAUCACUGGGCGUAAAGGGCGCGUAGGUGGUUUGAUAAGGGUGUGGUGAAAGUCCGGGGCUCAACCCCGGAUCUGCCGUGCCGACUGUCAAACUCGAGGACUGUAGAGGCAGACGGAAUUCCGGGUGUAGCGGUGGAAUGCGUAGAUAUCGGAAGGAACACCAGUGGCGAAAGCGGCUUCCUGGUCCAGCACCGACGUUCAGGCACGAAGGCCAGGGGAGCAAACGGG